GAUGAACGCUGGCGGCGUGCUUAACACAUGCAAGUCGAACGAACCUUCGGGUUAGUGGCGGGACGGGUGAGUAACGCGUGAGAAUCUGCCCUCAGGAGGGGGAUAACGGCUGGAAACGGCCGCUAAUACCCCAUAUGCCGAGAGGUGAAAUGAAUUUCGCCUGAGGAUGAGCUCGCGUCUGAUUAGCUUGUUGGUGGGGUAAUGGCCUACCAAGGCAACGAUCAGUAGCUGGUCUGAGAGGAUGAUCAGCCACACUGGGACUGAGACACGGCCCACGACUCCUACGGG
rnacentral:rRNA from 1 species